rnacentral:lncRNA from 1 species
GGUCGGUGGCGGCGGCGACAGAGGAGGGAGCGUCUGCCCCCGUGGCCGCGGCGGAGGAGGCAGCGGCGACGGAGGCGGGGACCUCCGCCCCGGGGAUCCCAGCGGAGGUGGCACCGGCGGCGGAGGCGGAGGAGCCCGCUCGAGGGACUCCGGCAGGAGCGGAGGAGCCUCCCUCGGCGGUUGCGGCGGAGGGCGAGGUAGCCG